rnacentral:lncRNA from 1 species
GGUGGUUUGGGAGGGCCACUGGGGUGGCACUUAGAGGCAAAGAUUGGAACUGGACAGAGCCUCAUCUGAGGAACCUGUGGCCCUAACUUGUGUACAGGUAGCAGAGGCAGCAGGCCGUGCCGGGGGGGCAUGUUCAUGUAACCUGUGGCCCAGGGGAUGUUACGGUGGACAGUGCAUCUGGAGGGCGGGCCACGCAGGGUGAACCAUGCUGCAGUGGCUGUUGGGCACCGAGUAUACUCCUUCGGGGGUUACUGUUCUGGUGAAGACUACGAAACACUACGGCAGAUAGAUGUGCACAUUUUCAAUGCUGGUAAGCCAGUCCUCCCACCUUUCUGGAGUCCCUGUAUUGGGGGAGGUCGUGGGC